rnacentral:rRNA from 1 species
UGGGGAAUAUUGCACAAUGGGCGCAAGCCUGAUGCAGCCAUGCCGCGUGUAUGAAGAAGGCCUUCGGGUUGUAAAGUACUUUCAGCGGGGAGGAAGGGAGUAAAGUUAAUACCUUUGCUCAUUGACGUUACCCGCAGAAGAAGCACCGGCUAACUCCGUGCCAGCAGCCGCGGUAGUACGGAGGGUGCAAGCGUUAAUCGGAAUUACUGGGCGUAAGCCGCACGCAGGCGGUUUGUUAAGUCGGAUGAGAAGACCCCGGGCUCAACCUGGGAACUGCAUCUGAGACUGGCAAGCUGGAGUCUCGUAGAGGGGGGUAGAAGUCCAGGUGUAGCGGUGAAGUGCGUCGAGAUCUGGAGGAAGAACGGUGGCGAAGGCGGCCGCCUGGACGAAGACUGACGCUCAGGUGCGAAAGCGUGGGGAGCAAACAGG